UUCACUGUUUUUUGUGGCUUAAGAACUAAUGUUUAAUUAUCAGACUUUACUAGCGGACUAAAAUUGUGUAAUAUUUUAUUACUAGUCGUAUCCCGUGCCUCCGACACUAUAUGGACGGUGAAAUUUAUUUCAGACUUUGGACGGCUCAAAUAAUUUAUUAGAGUGAGCGAAAAAUUCAAAAUCAAUUAUAUUUUGUUAGAUAGAUAUAUGCUAAUUAUGAUGAAUUAUCAAAAAAAAAUUUGUUGUUGAUCUCCUUUAACAACAAUUGCAAUUAUGUCAUUGUCUAAUUAUUAGUAUCUUGAUGGAUUAAUAUUUAAUAAUUAUUUAUUUAUAAAAAUUUAAAAUUCUUAUAUCUACAUUUGCAUUGCAUAUUUCUUAAAAUCUCUCGUCUUAUUCAAAAUGGGUACAAUGCAAUUUGUAAAUAUAGAAACUUCAAUGUGAAUACAAGAAGUAUUUGCAUGGGGCUUUCGCCCAGCACAAACCAAACAAAACUUGUCCAGUGAUUUUGAUUUUGCCUUGUGUUGCAAAACUUCGACGCUAGCCAAAUAUCUUCAGUACAAGUCCCUAAUUUCCAAAAUUAACCUCACCAUUUUUUAUUUUACUUUUAAAAUAAAGAAGAGAAAGACAAAAGAGUUGAUGAUAUCAUAUCAAGAGUAUCUAAGGACAAGAC
rnacentral:lncRNA from 1 species